rnacentral:tRNA from 1 species
GGGAAUGUGGCUUAGUGGUAGAGUGCUUGCCUAGCAUGCAUGAGGCCCUGGGUACAAUUUCUCAGUACCA